UUAUUUAAAAGGGACAAAGAAAAUCUACAUAAAAAAACCCAAGUUGCUUGGAAUCGACCAAAUCUGAUUGGAAAAAAUGUUUUAUAGAAGAAAAUUCCUGGGAUACGUACGCCACAUUGAAAAAACACACAAAUUAUAGGUGAAAAGGAGAAAGAGGAAAUCGAAUAGCCACUAAAUACUGAAUAUAGAAGAUUUUUAUGACAAUGAGAAUGGGAGAGGGAAAAGUGAAAAAAUUCAAUACACACGCAUAUUUACGAAUUACGGCCACCACGAAAAGAAUAAUAAAUGAAAUGGAAAAAAUGCUCGCGAAUACUACAACAGAGUGCCAUAUAUCAAAAAGAACAUUCAUCCAGAUAAAAAACAAAAGAAAAUUCUUUAGUAAUUAGGAAUUGCUCAAAGAAAAUGUAAAAAAUUCUCUUAGGGCCAAUUCUCUUGCGCGUUAAAUACGAAAUAUACCAAAGAGAAUAUAUGUAAAGGGGAGAGCGUUUACGUGUUUCCAUUUGUAGGUUAAGUUUAACCUUCAUCUUGGGGGAUUUUUUUUUACAAGUCACAAGACUUGGCUUACAGAGCAGUGUUGCCAGUUGGUAAAAAUAUAGUUUGAUGGGGUGUUUAUCAGGUGCCCACAAAAGUUAACAGCUAAGGAGUUUCAUGUGAGUAGAGCUCAAGGAAAUUAGAAAUCAAUCACAUGCCUUCCCCACCUAUACACACCUCCCUUAAUGGUAGAACGUCUUACUAUCACAUGCUUAAUUAUUUCCACUGAUAAGAUAAGAAAUCGGGGUAGCACAGUAGGCAGUAUUUGCCCUCUCUCAUCAUCUGAAAGCUAUUCUUCAUAUCAUACUUUUUUCACAAUUCUAUUUCGUUUUAAAAUGCAUUUUUUUUAUUGUUGACGACAUUCCAUGACUUGAGUCAUCGUUAUUCUAUUCUCGUCUUUGUUUGCCUUGCUUUUAAAUCGUGGGGCGUUUUUAGCGGAAAAUUGAAUUAUAUUAAAAUGUAAUGCCUUAAUAAUUGAUUUAUUCAACAAAUACCCAUCAUCUAUGUUCCAUGUUGUUGCUUUUGGUUUUUAUUUUUUCUGAAGUGCGCAAACUCCUUUUUUCCCUUCUUAUUGUAGUAAGCGAAUAUGAGAAAGAAAAGAAGGUUGACUACCAUGUUCUCAUAUGUAUACAUAGUGGCUCGUAUAUGUAGUGCGAUGGUUAUAUUUGUCCAAUGUAAUGAAAUGAACUUUGUUAUAAGAGGGGAAAAUAAGAAAAAAAGGUCAUUGUAAAGCCCACACCACCCACCAGUAGCCAGCAUCAGUGGUGUUAUCAAUUAUACAUAGGAAGGCAGUUGAAGAAAAGAGAGUUUGUUAUACAAGAGUUUCUGUUAGCUGACGAUCGUUCAGUUAUUUCUGGGGUUAUUGUUUUUAGUAGAGUAGGUAUACCAACAAUAUUCGUAUUAUAAACGUUUGAUGUGAAUUAUUUUUAAUUAUUUAUUAAGCUUUUAUAAAUCCCAGUUAUGAGCAAUAAGCGACAAUACGCGUAAUCACAUGACUGGUCGGUUUGUAUUGGUGUAUUCUUUUUUUUUUUUUUGCUUAUUAUAACCUUCUGAACAGAAAACACAAACCUGGUUCUUUUCUGACUCUUAAUCGAUGAGAGUUGAAAUUGAGAGUUGUUUUGCAAUCAUUAACUUUGAAACAUUUUGCUCUCAUCAAUUGAGCAGCACGUAGCAUUGAACGAUUUGAAUUUAUUGAAUUGAUUCACUCGUACACGCACACAAACUCAAGCUGCAAAAUUUGUUCAAUUCAUUGCAAUUUAAACUGGUUUCUUCUCUUGUUUUAAGUAUCGUUAAAACAAAAAAUAUUUCCUCUCAUUUCUUUACGUCAUACAAUUGUAUUUUUUAACGGGUUUUCUAAUAUUUGUUUUUUUUUUGCUAUUUUUUGUUUCUUCAUCAUAACUUGGCAUGUUAGUUUAAUGGUGGUCAUGUGUUUUAGUUGAUAACUUAUUUGUUUAGUUUCUCCCAAUCUUUUUCAUUUUUAACCCAUCUCUCACUCUCUUAUGCCAUACAUUUGUUUGCUAAAAACUUGGUUAAUUUCACCUUAUCAUCUGUUAACUUAAUCUGAACGUCAGCUAUGAAAAGCUUUUUAUUUUUUUGUUUAAAUACAUAUGGAUAUCAAUCAAGCUUUUCAUGUAUCACAUGACCAGUUUUUAAGAAUAAGAAAUUGACAAAUUAUACGCCAAAAUUCCAAAACUUAGGAAAUGUAUCUGUCUUCGAAAACAAAAUCAAUAGGGACUUCCCUAUAUAGCAAAUUAUCGAUAUCAAUCUUUGAAUUGCAAUGUAUUUUAGAAACCACAAUAACAUUGACUGUAAUUUGUUUGCGUUCAUCAGUUCCAUUGACCUUCAUUACCAAUAACUUGUGUUAAAUUAAUGUUGCCAAACAAGUUAUUUUAUGGAAACUUUGACAAAGAAAACUAAAACAUUUUUGUUGACAAAUUUCAAUGUGUUUUUAUUUGAAAUUAGGGACACAGAUAAACAAACAUGUAUGUUAUUUCGUUUUGAAUUUGCUGCCUGUCAGCUUACCUUACCACGUGGUACAUUUUAACUAUAGUAAAGAGAUAUUCCAAGCUUUUUUAAUUUUGAUGUGUAGAACCAAUACCAAACAUUUCGAACGCAAUACACACAUUACUAGAAAAUCCAUUAGUAAAUUGUAGUGGUAAUUUGGAAGAUUCGAAGAAUUUGCCCCCACAAUUACAAAAGGAUUAAGGCAUAAAUUUCUUAAAUAGGAACACAAAUAUACCAUCCAAAUGCAUUUAUGAAAGUAAAUAAGUGUUUGUCUUAUCGUUUGCUGUUGGAUUUAUCUUUUAAUGUCAUGUGAUAGCUGUUAAAUCAUAAACAGCCCUAAUCUGAAUAACAAUUUCCUGGGAGUUUGUUUUUCCCUACUUCCUUUUCCUUAUUCUAACAAACUUCGAAGUUUCUCCCGGUUUCAAUACUUCAUGUAUCCACUUAAGAAGAUUUGCAAAAGUUUUUCAGCUUUAUUGAAUUAGUAUAUGAAUAUACAUAGUUAUCACAUUAUGUGGUACAUAGUUUAAUAUUCUUAGAUUUCACAUGUUUUGCGCUAAAUUUAUUUGGUCUUGAAAUAAUUCAUACAAUCUGAUAUUGUCCGGCUGCAGAUCGAAAUCGCGAUCUAUGAAACCAAAUGCUAUUACAAAACAAAAAAAAAAAUUUCUGUCUAACUUUAAAAAACGGAUAGAAUGAUCGUGGGCAAAUUCUAGCUCCUAGAACUAGGCCUUAAGAUAAAGCAGCGUAUCAGGCAGACCACCACAGCAUUCAUGACGACAAAGAAGAAGCAAGCCUGUAUUCUACUCAUUAAAGUAGUUCUGGCGAAGAACGAUACGUUAGAUUGAGCCACUUAAACUCUUUUUGCCAAAGGAAAACUCCAACUUGCAGUUUCUAUGCGCCGCAUGAAACCAGGGACAACACAACACAAUCUAUUUAUCUGUCCACUAGACCACUCUGGAAUGCUGGAAGACAGAAAGUUGUUAUCACAACACAAAAAUAUCGUAACAAGAUGCCGGCCAUAAUUGUGCACUAUUCCAAAAUCAAAUGUUUAGCCAAAAUAAAAUAGCUGUUAUCGAAAAUUCGAAAUUCCCUCCCCCAAAAUUGUUCCUCUCUUCAACCAAUCAAAACGCAAUCUCAUGGCAGCCGGUUGUAUGUAUCGGAUUGACCCGAUGAAUUCCUUCAUCGGCAAGGGCUGCCGCCUCAGUGUACCACACACUGCUACUACAACAACAACAAAACGUAAAAAGUUACCAGCGCAACAAUACGAGGAAAAAAUGCAAAUAUUUGUAAUAUUUCUUAUCAAAAUUUACAAAACAUGUGUGGGCAUAGCAGUAAAAUAAAAUUUGUUGAGAUUUAUGCACGCAA